UACGUAGGUGGCAAGCGUUGUCCGGAUUUACUGGGCGUAAAGAGCGCGCAGGCGGUCGUUCAAGUCGCGUGUGAAAGCCCCCGGCUCAACUGGGGAGGGUCACGCGAUACUGAUCGACUGGAAGGCAGGAGAGGGUAGUGGAAUUCCCGGUGUAGUGGUGAAAUGCGUAGAUAUCGGGAAGAACACCGGAGGCGAAGGCGGGUUGCUGGGCCGACACUGACGCUGAUGCGCGAAAGCCAGGGGAGCGAACGGG
rnacentral:rRNA from 1 species